rnacentral:rRNA from 1 species
UGGGGAAUUUUGGACAAUGGGCGAAAGCCUGAUCCAGCAAUGCCGCGUGUGUGAAGAAGGCCUUCGGGUUGUAAAGCACUUUUGUCCGGAAAGAAAUCCUUGGCUCUAAUACAGUCGGGGGAUGACGGUACCGGAAGAAUAAGCACCGGCUAACUACGUGCCAGCAGCCGCGGUAAUACGUAGGGUGCAAGCGUUAAUCGGAAUUACUGGGCGUAAAGCGUGCGCAGGCGGUUUGCUAAGACCGAUGUGAAAUCCCCGGGCUCAACCUGGGAACUGCAUUGGUGACUGGCAGGCUAGAGUAUGGCAGAGGGGGGUAGAAUUCCACGUGUAGCAGUGAAAUGCGUAGAGAUGUGGAGGAAUACCGAUGGCGAAGGCAGCCCCCUGGGCCAAUACUGACGCUCAUGCACGAAAGCGUGGGGGAGCAAACAGGAUUAGAUACCCUGGUAGUCCAGCGCCCUAAACGAUGUCAACUAGUUGUUGGGGAUUCAUUCCUUAGUAACGUAGCUAACGCGUGAAGUUGACCGCCUGGGGAGUACGGUCGCAAGAUUAAAACUCAAAUGAAUUGACGGGGUCAUAGCUGUUUCCU